AUUGAACGCUGGCGGCAGGCCUAACACAUGCAAGUCGAGCGAGCGGCGGACGGGUGAGUAAUGUAUGGGGACUGCCCGAUAGAGGGGGAUCACUACUGGAAACGGUGGCUAAUACCGCAUACUAUCGUAUAACCCAUAUGGGAUUAGCUGGUAGGUGGGGUAAAGGCUAACCGAGGCGACGAUCUCUACCUGGUCUGAGAGGAUGAUCGGCCCAACUGGGACUGGGACACGGCCCAGACUCCUACGGAGGAAGCAGUGGGGAUGUUUCCACAAUGGGCGCAAGCCUGAUGCAGCAAUGCCGCGUGUAGGAAGCAGGCCUUAGGGUUGUAAAGUACGUUCAGCGGGGAGGCGUUACCCGAAGAAGAAGCACCGGCUAACUCCGUGCCAGCAGCCGCGGUAAUUC
rnacentral:rRNA from 1 species